UUUUUAGUUGUGAUAUUUAAAUUUAUAUGAAGGUAAGAAAGCUAUAAGAAAAUAAUUUUAAAAUAAUAAAUAUUAAAGGAAGGUAAUAACUUUAAAAUAUGCACUAAUGUUAAUAGUAGGACUGAAAUUUUAAAAGUUAUUAUAAUCGUAGCUUUAAAAAGUAAAGCACAAAUAAUAUUUUUAAAAAGUUAAAUUAUAAAUAUUCAUAAUAUUUGUUUUCAUGAUUUAUUACAUAAUUUAAUUCAAAUAAAAGUUAGUAGUUUCCGCCAAUUAAAAACCCAAAUAGUAAUUUAUCAGAGCAAGUUUGGAUGCAAGAUAUGAAAAUAAAUGACAAAAGGAAUACAUGUAGCACCCAUAUCUCAUGAUUUGCUGGGGUUGAAUGAAAGUUGCAUAAAACACAAAUAGGUGAGGUGUAUUUAUAUUUGAAGAUUAAGCAUUGAAGAAUAUGGAAGGUAUCACUAAUUUUAAAAGAGAGUAUGAAUGAGUAAUGCACUCAUAAUAAAUCAGACAUGAUCCAUAUUAGUAACAGAUAAUAUUAAGUGAAUUUGAGAAAAGGAAUUGAAAAUGACAAAUUUCUCAUUAGUUUAAGGGAAUUUGCACUUUCCAAUAACAAUGAGAGGUGUUACCAUUUACAACUUUAUAAAAUUAUUAUUCAUCAUAUUAUACUACAUGCAGUUAAGAUUGCUCUCAAAGUCAUAUGAUGCAAAUUGGCAUGUGUAAUGUCAAAAAACAAAA
rnacentral:lncRNA from 1 species